rfam:Brachypodium distachyon strain Bd21 chromosome 4, whole genome shotgun sequence.
AUUUGGUGGGAGUGAUGAUUCAAUUAGAUGCGCUAAGUUACCUUAUGAGCUAAACAUUUUGAGGCAUAAUUUUAUCUGACCUACCAAGA